UACGAAAGGGGCUAGCGUUGUUCGGAAUUACUGGGCGUAAAGCGCACGUAGGCGGCUUGGUAAGUUGGGGGUGAAAUCCCAGGGCUCAACCCUGGAACUGCCUCCAAAACUGCUAGGCUAGAGGAUGCGAGAGGUUGGCGGAAUUCCGAGUGUAGAGGUGAAAUUCGUAGAUAUUCGGAAGAACACCAGUGGCGAAGGCGGCCAACUGGCACAUUUCUGACGCUGAGACGCGAAAGCGUGGGGAGCGAACAGG
rnacentral:rRNA from 1 species